rnacentral:rRNA from 1 species
AACGAACGCUGGCGGCAUGCCUAACACAUGCAAGUCGAACGAGACCUUCGGGUCUAGUGGCGCACGGGUGCGUAACGCGUGGGAACCUGCCCUUAGGUUCGGAAUAACUCUCCGAAAGGGGUGCUAAUACCGGAUAAUGUCUUCGGACCAAAGAUUUAUCGCCUUUGGAUGGGCCCGCGUUGGAUUAGCUAGUUGGUAGGGUAAAAGCCUACCAAGGCGACGAUCCAUAGCUGGUCUGAGAGGAUGAUCAGCCACACUGGGACUGAGACACGGCCCAGACUCCUACGGGAGGCAGCAGUGGGGAAUAUUGGACAAUGGGCGAAAGCCUGAUCCAGCAAUGCCGCGUGAGUGAUGAAGGCCUUAGGGUUGUAAAGCUCUUUUACCCGGGAUGAUAAUGACAGUACCGGGAGAAUAAGCUCCGGCUAACUCCGU